rnacentral:tRNA from 1 species
GUCUGAGUGGCCGAGUGGUUAAGGCGAUGCCCUGCUAUUAAUACAAUUAUGUCUCGCACAGAGUUAUAAUAAGAUAGCCAGGCAUUGGGUUUUACCUUCGCAGGUUCGAAUCCUGUCUCCGACG